UGAACUGGUUUGUAGUCAUUGGGCAGCUAUCAAUGGUGUAAUACCCCAGGAAAAUGGCAUUCUACAAAGUGACUAUGGAGGUGAGACUAUACCAGGACCUGCAUUUGAUCCAAGUCACCCAGGUUCAGCUCCUGCUCCCUCUUCCUCUUCAGCAUUUCGACCUGUAAUGCCAUCUAGGCAAAUUGUAGAACGGCAGCCUCGGAUGCUGGACUUCAGGGUUGAGUACAGAGACAGAAAUGUUGAUGUGGUACUUGAAGACAGCUGUACUGUUGGAGAGAUUAAACAGAUUCUAGAAAAUGAACUUCAGAUACCUGUGUCUAAAAUGCUGUUGAAAGGCUGGAAGACCGGAGAUGUGGAAGACAGUGUGAGUUUCUUAA